AUGUCGUUUUUCCGUUCCCCAGCCAAGAUGGCGGAGAGGCGAGUCAAGUAUCUGAGGUUGACCGCCCUCCGCCAAGAGGGCAAUGAAGUGGGUGCCCUGGCUCAGGUGUUCUGGUCCCUGGCCGAGGGCAUGGGCUAUAACGAUGCGGCCCUUAAGGACUAUUUUAAUGAUGGACUGGAUGAUCCAGUGUCUCUGGAUGAGAUGGCGCAAUUAGAGACACUGGAAUUCUGGGAAUUCGUGCGCUACCUGCAGUAUCGGUGUCGGUGGGAUGCCCCAGCCACUCCUGUCUCUUCCGGUGGGGUGGUCGUCAGCCCAGCACCCCUGCCCAGGAGGGCUAUCGGCCCAGCGCCACAGCCCAAGAUGGCCGCAAGCCCAGCGCCACAGCCCAAGAUGGUCGCAAGCACAGCGCCACAGUCCAAGAUGGCCGCCAGCCUAGCGCCACAACACAAGAUGGCCGCCAGCCCAGCGCCACAGCCCAAGAUGGCCGCCAGCCUAGCGCCACAGCACAAGAUAGCCGCCAGCCUAGCACCACAGCACAAGAUGGCCGCCAGCUUAGAGCCACAGCACAAGAUGGUCGCCAGCCCAGUGCCACAGCACAAGAUGGCCGACUCAACGCCUGAGUUGCCAGUCCAGGUGCCACCGACUCGCCGUCAUAGAGGACGGAGGACGAGGAGAUGGGCGUCUACCGUACCUCAAGACCUGGAGAACGUUCCCGAGUGGGCCGCUGUCGUCCAGGAGGACAUUCCCGAGCGGGCCGCUGCCGUCCAGGAGGACGUUCCCGAGUGGGACGCUGUCGUCCAGGAGGACAUUCCCGAGCGGAUCGCUGCCGUCCCCGAGGCGGUGCCCGAGGUGGUGCCCGAGGCAGUGCCCGAUGCUGUUCCGGAGACCGAGGCGGUGCCUGAUGCUGUACCGGAGGACGAGGCCGUGCCCGAUGCUGUUCCGGAGACUGAGGUGGUGCGCGACGCCGAGACGGUGACCGAGGCUGUUCCGGAGGCCGAGGCGGGGCCUGAGGCGGUUCCGGAGGCAGUUACCGAGGCGGUGUCCGAAGCCAUUCCCGAUGCAGUGUUCGAGGCCGUUCCCGAUGCCUUGACCGAGGCGGUGCCCGAGACCGUUCCAGAGACAGUGCCCGAACCCAAGGUGUCUCAGGUCUUCACAGACAGUCCAGAGUCGGGUCAGGUUCCGGUGGACUCUCCGGAGUCGGGUCAGGUACCGGUGGACUCUCCGGAGUCGAGUCAUGUUCCCGUAGACUCUCCUGAGUCGAGUCAGGUACCGGUGGACUCUCCGGAGUCGGGUCAGGUUCCGGUGGACUCUCCGGAGUCGGGUCAGGUUCCGGUGGACUCUCCGGAGUCGGGUCAGGUUCCGGUGGACUCUCCGGAGUCGGGUCAUGUUCCCGUAGACUCUCCGGAGUCGAGUCAGGUACCGGUGGACUCUCCGGAGUCGGGUCAGGUUCCGGUGGACUCUCCGGAGUCGGGUCAGGUUCCGGUGGACUCUCCAGAGUUGAGUCAGGUACCGGUGGACUCUCCGGAGUCGGGUCAUGUUCCCGUAGACUCUCCGGAGUCGGGUCAGGUACCGGUGGACUCUCCGGAGUCGGGUCAGGUUCCGGUGGACUCUCCGGAGUCGGGUCAGGUUCCGGUGGACUCUCCAGAGUUGAGUCAGGUACCGGUGGACUCUCCGGAGUCGGGUCAUGUUCCCGUAAACUCUCCGGAGUCGGGUCAGGUACCGGUGGACUCUCCGGAGUCGAGUCAUGUUCCCGUAGACCCUCCAGAGUCGAGUAAGGUUCCAGCGGACCCUCCAGAGUCGAGUCGGGUGCCAGUGGACCCUCCAGAGUCGAGUCAGGUGUUUGUGGACCUUCCAGAGCCAGGACCAAUCACCAUGGACCUUCCAGAGCCAGGACCAGUCACCGAUGACCCUCUAGAGCCAAGUCAAGUCACUGGGUGGUCUGCUGCUCCGUUCUGGGGGACUCCUGUCUCAACCACAGGGGCGUGUUGGUCAUCUGCUCCACCCUGGGAGACUCUGACGACCACGAGCACGUGGUGGUCAUCCGCUCCGCCCUGGAGGGCUCUGGCUUUGACCACAAGGCCGUGGUGGUCUUCCGCUCCGCCCUGGAGGGCUCUGGCCUUGACCACAAGACUGUGGUGGUCUUCCGCUCCGCCCUGGAGGGCUCUGACUUUGACCACAAAGCCGUGGUGGUCUUCCGCUCCGCCCUGGAGGGCUCUGACUUUGACCACAAGGCCGUGGUGGUCUUCCGCUCCGCCCUGGAGGGCUCUGACUUUGACCACUAGGCUGUGGUGGUCUUCUGCUCCGCCCUGGAGGGCUCUGGCCUUGACCACAUGGCUGUGGUGGUCCUCUGCUCCGCCCUGGGGGGCGCCUCAACAUGCCCUUUAUGGACUUCUGUUUUGUGUUUUUGAGUUCUGUGAUGUUCCUGUCUGUUCCCCUUAG
rnacentral:lncRNA from 1 species